GGCAGAAGGGAGCCAGGUAUACAUGAGUCUCCAUGUACAGGAGAUGCAUGUACAUGGUGAGCAGUGUGUCAAGAACCUUAUUCCAGUUCAUGGAAGUGAGCCGAUAUCCAUUCACUCAGACUAGACUCAGCAGUCAUGUUGAAAUAAGUGAGCCAAUGCAAGAAAGCCCGUUGAUUUGGAGGGUGCUUGACAGGUACCAGAAGCCAAGGAAAUAUGGAAGGACAGCCCAACCUAAUGAUACCUACAAAGAGAAAGCACAGCACCGUUCUGACGAGGCUGUGGAAAGCGCGCUGAGGAUGGAGAGAGCAGGACUGCAUCACAAGGAUUUGGGAAUUUCACGAGAGGAAGCAGUCGCUUUCCAAUCAUUUCUACAGACCAUAGGAAGCUUAUGGAAGAGACAGACUUGGGUCUGGAAAUACGUGUAGAAUCUGGACAUUUGGAAACGGGAGAAAGCCAGUUAAAGGGGUGUAGUAUGUAUGCAAAUAAAAG
ensembl:lncRNA